rnacentral:rRNA from 1 species
CAAUAGCGUAUAUUAAAGUUGUUGCGGUUAAAAAGCUCGUAGUUGGAUUUCUGCUGAGAACGACCGGUCCGCCCUCUGGGUGUGUAUCUGGCUCUUUCUUGGCAUCUUCUUGGUGAACGUUGCUGCACUUGACUGUGUGGAGCGCUACCCAGGACUUUUACUUUGAGGAAAUUAGAGUGUUUCAAGCAGGCAUACGCCUUGAAUACAUUAGCAUGGAAUAAUAAGAUAGGACCUCGGUUCUAUUUUGUUGGUUUCUAGAGCUGAGGUAAUGAUUAAUAGGGAUAGUUGGGGGCAUUCGUAUUUAACUGUCAGAGGUGAAAUUCUUGGAUUUGUUAAAGGCGGACUACUGCGAAAGCAUUUGCCAAGGAUGUUUUCAUUGA